CGUUAUCGCGGUGUCGUUAUCACGCGGAGAUGGGCAUCAAAAAACGGGACAGAGACAAACAUGAGGCUGAUGUUUUCUUCGGAUGGAAGAAAAAACCAGUGCGGUAUCAAAAAUGUUUAUUAUUUAAUGUUGAUUCCGUGCUCAGUGGAGCCAGCAACGAAAACAACAUAAAAAUUACAGGCGACCAGCGCAGUGGCGGUUGUGGAGGCAGGCCCGGACUAGAAACAAUCAGAGGCUCUCGAAUGGAACAAAGUUGUGUGCUUGUCGACUCCCGUUUUCACCCAUCUGUCUGGCUGCUGUCGGUUUGUUGGCGAUUUUGUUAGAGAGGGUAAUCUCCGAAACUACUGGACUAAUUAGUAUAAAAUUUUAGAUGUAAUUUAAGGUUACUGCAAAAGUUGUAAAACACUAACCAAACUUUGUCCUCUUGUUGUAAAUAAAAAUUACGCUAUCUCAAA